AUGUACUGUAUGUACACUUCGGUUCCUGUGCUCCGGCCUCCCCGCUCUGACGGGGGCUCGCUACUUUUUGAGAUGU
rnacentral:sRNA from 1 species